AGAACAGAUGCUAUCCCUGGGAGAGGGAGCUCGUAACAAUCUUAGGGCAGCUGUCUGGUUUGCUGGAAUGAAAAGGCAUAGUUCUUUUUUUGCUUUAUUUGCCAUGCUGCAUGGUUAAGACAGACUUCUAAGAAGACAACUAUCAAGUUGGAAGGAAGUGUUGAUCUGCCUGAGGGUAGGAAGACCCUACAGAGUGAUCUGGGCAGGCUGGAUCGAUGGGCUGAGGCCAAUUGUGUGAGCUUCAACACAACCAAGUGCUGGGUCCUGCACUUUGGUCACAACAACCUCACGCAUCACUAUAGACAUGAGGCAUGGCAGCUGGAAAGCAGAGUGGAGGAAAAGAUUCUGGAGGUGUUGGUUGACAGCCAGCUGAAUGUGAGCCAGCAGUGUGCCCAGGUGGCCAAGAAGGCCAAUGCUAUCCUGGUUUGUAUCAGCAAUAGUGCAGCCAGCAAGAGCAGGAAGGUGACCGUUCCUCUUUACUCAGCUCUGGUGAGGCUGCACCUCGAGUGCUGCGUUCAGUUCUGGGCCCCUCACUGUAAGAAAGACAUUGAGGAGCUGGAAGAUGGGGCCUGCCUGAAUUAGGGAUUUAUUCUCCCUAUAAAUUCUGUGGAAAGAGUUAGGUGCGCUUACAGACCCAAAUCCUCUGCAUAAAGUGGGAAGCCUAUUCAAACAUUUCAACAUGGCACAUGACCUGUCUCAGAGGCAGAAGCAGGAACUAUUGCUGAAGGUAUCUGUCAGCACCAAUGUUGAAGGUGUGAUAGCUGCCACUGCUACAGACCCUAG
ensembl:lncRNA